ACUUUUUCAAUCCUUCCUCAUCUGGGUUUUCUUUAUGGGUUAUGUUUACUCGCUAGUUUGAAAGAGUCACUUGACUAAGAAUUGUAAGAUCUGGAUACUUAACUAUGGAAGCUGCUUUAUUUAUAGCAUUGUUGCUUCUUCACAUUGUCAGAUGAGUUGUUACAAUGAUAUAUAUCCCCAUUCUGUAACUAUUAACAUUUAGGUUAAAGAAGGCAGUCUGCAAAAACACCUGUGCAUGAGCUGUUGAUACAAUCUGAUGCCCAGAUUGGCAAUAUGUUUCAUACAGGUUGUGUCAGACUUAACGUGUACAUGAUUUAGAAAGAUUUGCACAGUGUGGUCAGCAUUUCAGCAGCAUUUCCAACUAUCCAGCAGCAUCUGGCUGCUAAUGUCAGAGAGUGUCUCUAAAAGCAGAAUGGCUGUUUGUUACUACCGAAAGCUACUCACAGCAGUAGAGUCAUUUGUGCAGGAGAUCAAAGCUCCCAAAAUCAGGAAAACAGCACUUCCACUUAUAACUGAAACAUAAUAAACUUCCCUUAUUUCUACUUUAUCAAGAAUGAUUUUUGAGCAAAUACAUGAUCCUCUAACUCUGUGCUUUUGUUCUGCUCAGACACUAUGGGAGAGAACAACGGAAUGUUAUCAGGCUUUAUUUCCAAAGGUCUCAUCAGCCUGGUGAGGAGCAGCCUGUCACCAAAUCCUUUAAGAUUUGCUUAGAAGAACUGAUAUUCUAAACAGGAAGAAAACCACAGCAGCAAUGGGCAAAAAAAGCACAGCGGUGGGGUUGUACUAGGUGUACAAAGAUACUUUCCUUCGAAGGGCAGGUCAUGCAAGGCCUCACAACACUGGGAUCCUUGCAAAAAAACUACAAAAGAUGUCAUGCUUGCUUCAAACUGCUUGUAGGUGAAACAACAGUUGGAUAAGGAGUACAAUAAACAGACUCCAGGCACUCCUCUGUGUCAACAAGUCCUGUUUCCUGUUCUCAAGGUGCCUGGGGACAGAAGCUGAAU